rnacentral:rRNA from 1 species
GACGAACGCUGGCGGCGUGCUUAACACAUGCAAGUCGAACGGAAAGGCUCCAGCUUGCUGGAGUACUCGAGUGGCGAACGGGUGAGUAACACGUGGGUAAUCUGCCCUGCACUCUGGGAUAAGCCUGGGAAACUGGGUCUAAUACUGGAUAUGACCUUUCUCCUUAUGGGGUUUGGUGGAAAGUUUUUCGGUGUAGGAUGAGCCCGCGGCCUAUCAGCUUGUUGGUGGGGUGAUGGCCUACCAAGGCGACGACGGGUAGCCGGCCUGGGAGGGUGAUCGGCCACAUUGGGACUGAGAUACGGCCCAGACUCCUACGGGAGGCAGCAGUGGGGAAUAUUGCACAAUGGGCGGAAGCCUGAUGCAGCGACGCCGCGUGAGGGAUGACGGCCUUCGGGUUGUAAACCUCUUUCAGCAGGGACGAAGCGUAAGUGACGGUACCUGCAGAAGAAGCACCGGCUAACUACGUG